UACGGAGGGGGCUAGCGUUGUUCGGAAUUACUGGGCGUAAAGAGUGCGUAGGUGGUUUAGUAAGUUGGAAGUGAAAGCCCGGGGCUUAACCUCGGAAUAGCUUUCAAAACUACUAAUCUAGAGUGUAGUAGGGGAUGAUGGAAUUCCUAGUGUAGAGGUGAAAUUCUUAGAUAUUAGGAGGAACACCGGUGGCGAAGGCGGUCAUCUGGGCUACAACUGACGCUGAGGCGCGAAAGCGUGGGGAGCAAACAGG
rnacentral:rRNA from 1 species